rnacentral:tRNA from 1 species
GGGCCGUUAGCGCAGUUGGUAGCGCGCAUCCAUGGCAUGGAUGAGGUCACCGGUUCGAACCCGGUACGGUCCA